GACGAACGCUGGCGGCGUGCUUAACACAUGCAAGUCGAACGGAAAGGCCCUGCUUUUGUGGGGUGCUCGAGUGGCGAACGGGUGAGUAACACGUGAGUAACCUGCCCUUGACUUUGGGAUAACUUCAGGAAACUGGGGCUAAUACCGGAUAGGAGCUCCUGCUGCAUGGUGGGGGUUGGAAAGUUUCGGCGGUUGGGGAUGGACUCGCGGCUGAUCAGCUUGUUGGUAGGGUAGUGGCCUACCAAGGCGAUGACGGGUAGCCGGCCUGAGAGGGGGACCAGCCACACUGGGACUGAGACACGGCCCAGACUCCUACGGGAGGAAGCAGUGGGGAAUAUUGGACAAUGGGCGAAAGCCUGAUCCAGCAAUGCCGCGUGAGUGAUGAAGGCCGGAGGGUGGUAAAGCUCUUUUACCCGGGAUGAUAAUGACAGUACCGGGAGAAUAAGCUACGGCUAACUCCGUG
rnacentral:rRNA from 1 species